rnacentral:rRNA from 1 species
GGGUUGUGAGGUUAAGCGACUAAGCGUACACGGUGGAUGCCCUGGCAGUCAGAGGCGAUGAAGGACGUGCUAAUCUGCGAAAAGCGUCGGUAAGGUGAUAUGAACCGUUACAGCCGGCGAUGUCCGAAUGGGGAAACCCAGUGCAAUUCGUUGCACUAUCGUUAACUGAAUACAUAGGUUAACGAGGCGAACCGGGGGAACUGAAACAUCUAAGUACCCCGAGGAAAAGAAAUCAACCGAGAUUCCCCCAGUAGCGGCGAGCGAACGGGGAGCAGCCCGGAGUCUGAAUCAGCUUGUGUGUUAGUGGAAGCGUCUGGAAAGUCGCAGGGUACAGGGUGAUACUCCCGUACACUAAAACACACAGGUUGUGAACUCGAAGAGUAGGGCGGGACACGUGGUAUCCUGUCUGAAUAUGGGGGGACCAUCCUCCAAGGCUAAAUACUCCUGACUGACCGAUAGUGAACCAGUACCGUGAGGGAAAGGCGAAAAGAACCCCGGCGAGGGGAGUGAAAAAGAACCUGAAACCGUGUACGUACAAGCAGUAGGAGCCCCACCACCAAAGCGUUUCGCUUUGCGUGGUGCGCAAAAUGCGUAACGACAGCAUGAUGGACGGUUAACGGAGCGUAAGCGACGUUCAACAUCAAAAAUCAGGCAGUGGAGCGUUUUGGGGUGGGGUGACUGCGUACCUUUUGUAUAAUGGGUCAGCGACUUAUAUUCUGUAGCAAGGUUAACCGUAUAGGGGAGCCGCAGGGAAACCGAGUCUUAACUGGGCGUUAAGUUGCAGGGUAUAGACCCGAAACCCGGUGAUCUAGCCAUGGGCAGGUUGAAGGUUGGGUAACACUAACUGGAGGACCGAACCGAC